rnacentral:rRNA from 1 species
UACGAAGGGUGCUAGCGUUGUUCGGAAUCACUGGGCGUAAAGGGCGCGUAGGCGGCUAUACAAGUCAGAGGUGAAAGCCCGGAGCUUAACUCCGGAAUUGCCUUUGAAACUGCAUGGCUAGAGUGUCGGAGGGGAUAGCGGAAUUCCAAAUGUAGAGGUGAAAUUCGUAGAUAUUUGGAGGAACACCGGUGGCGAAGGCGGCUAUCUGGACGACAACUGACGCUGAGGCGCGAAAGCGUGGGGAUCAAACAGG